rnacentral:rRNA from 1 species
CGUGGUGGGAGACAGUGUCAGGCGGGCAGUUUGACUGGGGCGGUCGCCUCCUAAAAGGUAACGGAGGCGCUCAAAGGUUCCCUCAGAAUGGUUGGAAAUCAUUCAUAGAGUGUAAAGGCAUAAGGGAGCUUGACUGCGAGACCUACAAGUCGAGCAGGGUCGAAAGACGGACUUAGUGAUCCGGUGGUUCCGCAUGGAAGGGCCAUCGCUCAACGGAUAAAAGCUACCCCGGGGAUAACAGGCUUAUCUCCCCCAAGAGUUCACAUCGACGGGGAGGUUUGGCACCUCGAUGUCGGCUCAUCG